rnacentral:rRNA from 1 species
GAUGAACGCUGGCGGCGUGCCUAAUACAUGCAAGUCGAGCGAACGGACGAGAAGCUUGCUUUUCUGAUGUUAGCGGCGGACGGGUGAGUAACACGUGGAUAGCCUACCUAUAAGACUGGGAUAACUUCGGGAAACCGGAGCUAAUACCGGAUAAUAUUUUGAACCGCAUGGUUCAAAAGUGAAAGACGGUCUUGCUGUCACUUAUAGAUGGAUCCGCGCUGCAUUAGCUAGUUGGUAAGGUAACGGCUUACCAAGGCAACGAUGCAUAGCCGACCUGAGAGGGUGAUCGGCCACACUGGAACUGAGACACGGUCCAGACUCCUACGGGAGGCAGCAGUAGGGAAUCUUCCGCAAUGGGCGAAAGCCUGACGGAGCAACGCCGCGUGAGUGAUGAAGGUCUUCGGAUCGUAAAACUCUGUUAUUAGGGAAGAACAUAUGUGUAAGUAACUGUGCACAUCUUGACGGUACCUAAUCAGAAAACCACGGCUAACUACGU